rnacentral:rRNA from 1 species
AGAAUCAACGCUGGCGGCGUGCCUAACACAUGCAAGUCGAACGAGAAAGGGGUAGCAAUACCCUGAGUAAAGUGGCGCACGGGUGAGUAACACGUGACUAACCUACCCUUGAGUGGGGGAUAACUGAGGGAAAUCUUAGCUAAUACCGCAUAAUACCCACGGGUCAAAGGAGCAAUUCGCUCGAGGAGGGGUCGCGGCCGAUUAGUUAGUUGGCGGGGUAAUGGCCCACCAAGACGAUGAUCGGUAUCCGGCCUGAGAGGGCGCACGGACACACUGGAACUGAAACACGGUCCAGACUUCUACGGGAGGUAGCAGUGGGGAAUUUUGCGCAAUGGGGGAAACCCUGACGCAGCAACGCCGCGUGGAGGAUGAAGUCCUUCGGGACGUAACUCCUUUCGAUCGGGACGAUUAUGACGGUACCGGAAGAAGAAGCCCCGGCUAACUUCGCGCCAGCAGCCGC